GCGCAGGGCCGGCACUGGCUGCUUGGAGGCCGCUUCCUCGGGUUUCCCACGCUGUCCUUUCCUAGCUGACCCUCCCAGGGAGGCUUUCCUUUCCUGUGAGGCUGGCAGAGGAGUGGCACAGAGGACUUUUCAUACAAGCUCAGAGGGGGUCUAUAAAACCAUCAUGGAGCCGGAGGAUCAACAGUGUGAUGGCAGCACACAGCCCCAGUGAGCCAGUCUUCUUGUCCCCCAGAGGCCCGUAUGGCUUACAUCAUCUGGAGGGGAGAAGUGUUACAUCAUAACAAUGGAAAAGGAAGAAAAAGGAGCCUAGCUGGUUCCCUCCCACCUCUUUGUAAUGGAGUACUAACCCCAUGAAUAAAGGUGAAGCCCUCUACAGUUAA
rnacentral:lncRNA from 1 species